rnacentral:rRNA from 1 species
UACAGAGGGUGCAAGCGUUAAUCGGAAUUACUGGGCGUAAAGCGUGCGUAGACGGUUAUGUAAGUCGGGUGUGAAAGCCCCGGGCUCAACCUGGGAAUUGCAUUCGAGACUGUGUAGCUAGGGUACGGAAGAGGGAAGCGGAAUUUCAGGUGUAGCGGUGAAAUGCGUAGAUAUCUGGAGGAACACCGGUGGCGAAGGCGGGUCUCUGGACAGUUCCUGACGCUGAGGCACGAAGGCCAGGGGAGCAAACGGGG